ensembl:lncRNA
GGAGCGCUGCUGCCUUCAACAUUGUCAGAGGAUGCAAGAAAAGGCAACAACAUCCAAAGAAGAGUUUACUGGAGAAAUAUUCCUGAAGACUGCUUAAAGAAAUGAUGUUUUUCCAAACAAAAUAUAAAGCGGUAAAGUUUUAAAAGAGAAUAAAGCACAUCAGUGACAAGCAAGCUCCUAGAAGACUUCACACAAACAGAAUUCAUACUCAGUUGGGAUUAAAGACAUUCCUAAGACAUUCCGAAGUUUGGGAAAGACUGGAUUAGCACACAGAGUUAAAGGAUUAUGUAGAAGGACUGCCUUAAAAAACUCUUUAGAUGUUUUCAGAGUUUUUACCACCACAAAACUGGACUGUCACAGGGUUAAUGUAUGGCUCCAAUUAGC